GGAGAAUUGCCUUUCUGAGAAGCUGGAAAUAUUUCUUUAAAUUCCAUCUCUUAGUUUUCCAAUUUGUUGCAUUUUAGAGGAACAUUGAGAAACCAUGAACAACUUUAGUAACGAAGAGUUCGACUGCCACUUCCUUGAUGAAGGUUUUACUGCCAAGGACAUUCUGGACCAAAAAAUUAAUGAAGUUUCUACUUCUGGUGAUAAGGAUGCCUUCUAUGUCGCAGACCUUGGAGACAUUCUGAAGAAACACCGAAGAUGGCUAAAAGCUCUUCCUCGUGUCACCCACUUUUAUGCAGUCAAAUGUAAUGACAGCAGAGCCAUUGUGAAGACCCUCGCUGCCAUCGGGACAGGAUUUGACUGCGCUACAAGACCGAAAUACAAUUGGUGCAGAGUCUCGGGUGCCUCCAGAGAGGAUCAUCUAUGCAAAUCUUUGUAAACAAGUGUCUCAAAUUAAGAAUGCUGCCAACAAUGGAAUACAGAUGAUGACUUUUGAUAGUGAAGUUGAGCUGAUGAAAGUUGCCAGAGCACAUCCAAAGGCAAAGUUGGUUUUGCGAAUUGCCACUGAUGAUUCCAAAGCAGUCUGUCGACUUGGUGUUAAAUUCGGUGCCACACUGAAAACCAGCAGGAUUCUUUUGGAACGGGCCAAAGAGCUAAAUAUUGAUGUCAUCGGUGUCAGCUUCCACGUAGGAAGUGGCCAUAAGGAUCCUGAGACCUUCGUGCAGGCAAUCUCUGAUGCCUGCUGUGUCUUUGACAUGGGAGCUAAGUUUGGUUUCAGCAUGUAUCUGCAUGAUUAUUGGUGGUGCCUUUCCUGGAUCUGAGGAUGUGAAGCUUAAAUUUGAAGAGAUCACCAGUGUAAUCAACCCAGCAUUGGAUAAGUAUUUUCCAUCAGACUCUGGAGUGAGAAUCAUAGCUGAGCCAGGCAGAUAUUAUGUUGUGUCAGCUUUCACACUCGCAGUUAAUAUCAUUGCCAAAAAAAUCGUAUUAAAGGAACAGAUAGGCUCUGAUCAUGAAGAUGAGUCCAACAAACACACCUUUAUGUAUUACAUGAAUGAUGGAGUAUAUGGAUCAUUUAAUUGCAUCCUUUAUGAUCAUGCGCACGUAAAGCCCCUUCUGCAAAAGAGACCUAAAGCAGAUGAGAAAUAUUAUUCAUCCAGCAUAUGGGGACCAACAUGUGAUGGCCUUGACCGGAUUUUUGAGCACUGUGACCUGCCCGAAAUGCAUGUGGGUGACUGGAUGCUCUUUGAAAACAUGAGCACUUACACUGUAGCUGCUGCUUCUACUUUCAAUGGAUUCCAGAGGCCCACUAUCUACUAUGUGAUGUCAGGACCGACAUGGCAACUCAUGCAGCCAAUCCAGAACCCCCACUUCCCACCUGAAGUAGAAGAGCAGGACGUCGGCACUCUGCCUGUGUCUUGUGCUUGGGAAAGUGGAAUGAAACAUCACCCAGCAACUUGUGCUUCAGCUAGUAUUAAUGUGUAGAUACCAUUCUUGUAGCUGUUAACUGCAAGUUUAGCUUGAAUUAAGGGAUUUGGGGGGACCAUUUAACUUAAUUACUGCUAGUUUUGACAUGUCUUGUAAGAGUAGGGUUGCACAUAUGCAGCAAUAUGGAAGACUAGGAGAUGGGGUCACACUUAUCUGUGUUCCUAUGGAAACUAUUUGAAUAUUUGUUUUAUAUGGAUUUUUAUUCACUUUUCAGACAUGCUACGAAAG